CCUGCCCGAGCUGCCGCCCUCGUCCCGCGCCGAGAUCGAGGGGACGCAGCGGGGGCUGAACAAGGAGCUGGCGGCGCUGAUCGCGAAGCUGCGGCUGGCGCAGCAGAACCGCGGCUCCUCGCUGGGCGCCGAGUGCCGCCGGCAGAUGCUCGCCGCCGCCCACAGCCCUCGCCGUCGACGCCAAGAACCUCCUGGACGCCGUGGACCAGGCCCGGCUCCGCGCCCCACCCCACCCCGAGUGACCGAGGGGAUGGAAAGUUCCGGAAACGGGAGGGAAAUGCGGAUUUUUGCCGUGGUUUAUUCGUUUUUCUGCUCUUCUUCGAGCUCCUCCUCAUCAUCCUCGUGUCUUGCCAAGCGUCGCGAUUUGGAAGACUGGAGGUGUCUGAUGGGGUUUGAUUUGGAGAAAUUGGAGGGUUUGGUGGGGGUUUUGAAUGGAAAAAUGAAAGUUUUUGGGGUUUUCCUUGGAAAAAAAGGGAGGUUUUGGAGUUUCUCCUUGAGAAAAUGGAGGUUUUUGGGGUUUUACUUGGAAAAAAAAAGGAGGUUCCUUGAAAAAAGGGAGGUUUGGGGGUUUUUCCAUGGAAAAAAUGGAAGUUUUGGGGGGUUCUGAACGGCGACCGCGGACCUGAAGAGGCGGAAAUCGGGAUGGAAAGUUCCGGAAACGGGAGGGAAAUGCCGAUUCUCGAUGCCGUGGUUUAUUCGUUUUUCUGCUCUUCUUCGCGCUCCUCCUCGUCUUCUUCGUGUCUUGCCGAGCGUCGCUCUUUGAAGGAUGGAAGGGUCUGGUGGGGUUCCCCUCGGAGAAGUUGGAGGGUUUGGGGUUUUGACUGGAAAAAUGAAAGUUGUUGGGGUUUCCCUUGGAAAAAUGACAAGUUUUUUGGGAAAAAAAGGGAGGUUUUGGGGGAUUACGUGGAAAAAAUUGAGGUUGUUUGGUUUUUAUUUGGGAAAAAAAAAUGAGGUUCUUGUGGUUUUCCUUGGAAAAAAAAUGUUUUGAGGUUUUAUUUGGAAGACGUGAGCUUUUUUGGGGGGGUUUUCCUUGGGAAAAAAAGGGAGAUUCCUUGGAAAAAGGGAGGUUUUGGGGUUUUUCCAUGGAAAAAAUGGAAGUUUUGGGGGGUUCUGAACGGUGGCCGUGGACGCCAAGAACCUCCUGGACGCCGUGGACCAGGCCCGGCUCCGCGCCCGACCCCACCCCGAGUGACCGAGGGGAUGGAAAGUUCCGGAAACGGGAGGGAAAUGUGGAUUUUCGCCGUGGUUUAUUCGUUUCUCUGCUCUUCUUCUUCUUCUUCCCGCCAUUCCUCGCCCUCUUCGUGUCUUGCCAAGCGUUGCUCUUUGAAGGACGGAAGGGUCUGGUGGGGUUCUCCUCGGAGAAAUUGGAGGGUUUGGGGUUUUGAAUGGAAAAAUGAAAGUUGUUGGGGUUUCCCUUGGAAAAAUGACAAGUUUUUUGGGAAAAAAAGGGAGGUUUUGGGGGAUUACGUGGAAAAAAUUGAGGUUGUUUGGUUUUUAUUUGGGGAAAAAAAAUGAGGUUCUUGUGGUUUUCCUUGGAAAAAAAAUGUUUUGAGGUUUUAUUUGGAAGACGUGAGCUUUUUUGGGGGGGGUUUUCCUUGGGAAAAAAAGGAGAUUCCUUGGAAAAAGGGAGGUUUGGGGGUUUUUCCAUGGAAAAAAUGGAAGUUUUGGGGGGUUCUGAACGGCGACCGUGGACGCCAAGAACCUCCUGGACGCCGUGGACCAGGCCCGGCUCCGCGCCCGACCCCACCCCGAGUGACCGAGGGGAUGGAAAGUUCCGGAAACGGGAGGGAAAUGCCGAUUCUCGAUGCCGUGGUUUAUUCGUUUCUCUGCUCUUCUUCUUCUUCUUCUUCCCGCCAUUCCUCGCCCUCUACGUGUCUUGCUGAGCGCCGCGAUUUGGAAGACUGGAGGUGUCUGAUGGGGUUUGAUUUGGAGAAAUGGAAGUUUUGGGGUUUUAUUUGGAAAAAAAUCAAAGUUUGGGUUUUUGUUUGGAAAAAAUGGCGUUUAUGGGGCUUUCCUUGGAAAAAAAUGUUUUGGGGUUUCCCUUGGAAAAAAGGGGAGGUUUUGGAUCUUUUCCUUGGAGAACAUGAGGGGUUUUAGGGGAUGUCCUUGGAAAAAAAGGGAGGUUUUGCGGUUUUACUUGGAAAAAAAUGAAGUUUUUUUGGAGUUUCCCCUUGAGAAAAUUGCGGGUUUUGGUGUUUUUAUUUGGAAAAGAUGGAAGAUUUUUGGGGUUUUUGUGUGGAGAGGAGGCGCCGAUGGGGCAGACGACACCAAGAACCUCCUGGACGCCGUGGACCAGGCCCGGCUCCGCGCCCGACCCCACCCCGAGUGACCGAGGGGAUGGAAAGUUCCGGAAACGGGAGGGAAAUGCCGAUUCUCAAUGCCGUGGUUUAUUCGUUUUUUCUGCCCUUCUUCGCGCUCCUCCUCAUCCUCGUGUCUUGCCGAGCGUCGCUCUUUGAAGGAUGGAAGGGUCUGGUGGGGUUCUCCUCGGAGAUAUUGGAGGAUUUGGUGGGGUUUUGAAUGGAAAAAUGGAAGUUUUUCGGGUUUUCCUUGUAAAAAAAGGGAGGUUUUGGAGCUUCUCCUUGAGAAAACGGAGGUUUUUGGGGUUUCACUUGGGAAAAAUGGAGAUUCCUUGGAAAAAAGGGAGGUUUUGGAGUUUCUCCUUGAGAAAAUGGAGGUUUGUGGGGUUUCACUUGGAAAUAAAAAGGAGAUUCCUUGAAAAAAGGGAGGUUUGGGGGUUUUUCCAUGGAAAAAAUGGAAGUUUUGGGGGGUUCUGAACGGUGGCCGUGGACGCCAAGAACCUCCUGGACGCCGUGGACCAGGCCCGGCUCCGCGCCCGACCCCACCCCGAGUGACCGAGGGGAUGGAAAGUUCCGGAAACGGGAGGGAAAUGUGGAUUUUUGCCGUGGUUUAUUCGUUUCUCUGCUCUUCUUCUUCUUCUUCCCGCCAUUCCUCGCCCUCUUCGUGUCUUGCCGAGCGUCGCUCUUUGAAGGAUGGAAGGGUCUGGUGGGGUUCUCCUCGGAGAAAUUGGAGGGUUUGGGGUUUUGAAUGGAAAAAUGAAAGUUGUUGGGGUUUCCCUUGGAAAAAUGACAAGUUUUUUGGGAAAAAAAGGGAGGUUUUGGGGGAUUACGUGGAAAAAAUUGAGGUUGUUUGGUUUUUAUUUGGGGAAAAAAAAUGAGGUUCUUGUGGUUUUCCUUGGAAAAAAAAUGUUUUGAGGUUUUAUUUGGAAGACGUGAGCUUUUUUGGGGGGGUUUUCCUUGGGAAAAAAAGGAGAUUCCUUGGAAAAAAGGGAGGUUUUGGGGUUUUUCCAUGGAAAAAAUGGAAGUUUUGGGGGGUUCUGAACGGCGACCGUGGACGCCAAGAACCUCCUGGACGCCGUCGACCAGGCCCGGCUCCGCGCCCGACCCCACCCCGAGUGACCGAGGGGAUGGAAAGUUCCGGAAACGGGAGGGAAAUGUGGAUUUUUGCCGUGGUUUAUUCGUUUCUCUGCUCUUCUUCUCCUUCUUCUUCCCGCCAUUCCUCGCCCUCUACGUGUCUUGCCGAGCGUCACGAUUUGGAAGACUGGAGGUGUCUGAUGGGGUUUGAUUUGGAGAAAUGGAAGUUUUGGGGCUUUAUUUGGAAAAAAAUCGAAGUUUGGGUUUUUGUUUGGAAAAAAUGGCGUUUAUGGGGCUUUCCUUGGAAAAAAAUGUUUUGGGGUUUCCCUUGGAAAAAAGGGGAGGUUUUGGAUCUUUUCCUUGGAGAACAUGAGGGGUUUUGGGGAUGUCCUUGGAAAAAAAGGGAGAUUCCUUGGAAAAAAGGGAGGUUUUGGAGUUUCUCCUUGAGAAAAUGGAGGUUUUUGGGGUUUUACUUGGAAAAAAAAAGGAGGUUCCUUGAAAAAAGGGAGGUUUUAGGGUUUUUCCAUGGAAAAAAUGGAAGUUUUGGGGGGUUCUGAACGGUGGCCGUGGACGCCAAGAACCUCCUGGACGCCGUGGACCAGGCCCGGCUCCGCGCCCGACCCCACCCCGAGUGACCGAGGGGAUGGAAAGUUCCGGAAACGGGAGGGAAAUGUGGAUUUUUGCCGUGGUUUAUUCGUUUUUCUGCUCUUCUUCUCCUUCUUCUUCCCGCUCCUCCUCGUCAUCCUCGUGUGUCGCCGAGUGUCGCGUCGCGAUUUGGA